UACGGAGGGUGCAAGCGUUGUUCGGAAUCAUUGGGCGUAAAGCGCGUGUAGGCGGCUCGGUAAGUCGGUUGUGAAAGCCCCGGGCCCAACCCCGGAAUUGCAGCCGAAACUGCCCCGCUAGAGUCCCGGAGAGGAAGGCAGAAUUCCCGGAGUAGGGGUGAAAUCCGUAGAUAUCGGGAGGAAUACCAGCGGCGAAGGCGGCCUUCUGGACGGUGACUGACGAUGAGACGCGAAAGCGUGGGGAGCAAACAGG
rnacentral:rRNA from 1 species